UAGGGAUUGCAGUGGAAAGCCCACAGCCCGACGAAGGAGGUGCGAGGACUUGCAGCGGAAAGCCCGACCCUUG
rnacentral:sRNA from 1 species